UUGACCUCGAAUCAGGUAGGAAUACCCGCUG
rnacentral:rRNA from 3 species